GGAAGUAAAGGUCGUAACAAGGUUUCCGUAGGUGAACCUGCGGAAGGAUCAUUAUUGUAUAACCGAGGUGCGAGGGCUGUCGCUGACCCGAAAGGUCGUGCACGCCCGAGUGCCCUCACACACAUCCAUCUCACCCCUAUGUUCACCACCGCGUGGGUCCCCCUUUGGCUUGUUCGGAGGGGGGCUUACGUUUUCACACAAACUUUGUAUGCAGUGUAGAAUGUAUUUUUUGUUUUUGCGAUCACGCAAUCAAUACAACUUUCAACAACGGAUCUCUUGGCUCUC
rnacentral:misc_RNA from 1 species